AGAGGAGGAGAGAAGAGGAGGAGAGAAGAGGAGGAGAGAAGAGGAGGAGAGAAGAGGAGGAGAGAAGAGGAGAGAAAUUCCUCAGAGGAAAAAGAAAGUGCAAGCACCAGGUAUGGGGAGAGGACAGCAGCUAUCAAAACCAGGACUCCAACCUGGCAAAGACAAAGACCACAUGUUGAGCAUAGCAGCUGAAGGAGAAUAACGCCUUAAUGGUUACCUCAGUUUAAGAGCAGAUACGGAAAAGGAUCAGUUAAUUUAGUGCACAUUCAACUUAAGCGAAGCGUACCUGCAGUGC